AGGUAGCAAUACUGGGCGGCGACCGGCAAACGGGUGCGGAACACGUACACAACCUUCCGAGAAGUGGGGAAUAGCCCAGAGAAAUUUGGAUUAAUAUCCCGUAACAUAACGAUGUGGCAUCACAUUGUUAUUAUAGCUUCGGCGCUUCUUGAUGGGUGUGCGGCUGAUUAGAUAGUUGGCGGGGUAACGGCCCACCAAGUCUACGAUCAGUAGCUGAUGUGAGAGCAUGAUCAGCCACACGGGCACUGAGACACGGGCCCGACUCCUACGGGAGGCAGCAGUAAGGAAUAUUGGUCAAUGGACGCAAGUCUGAACCAGCCAUGCCGCGUGAAGGAUUAAGGUCCUCUGGAUUGUAAACUUCUUUUAUCUGGGACGAAAAAAGGCGAUUCUUCGUCACUUGACGGUACCAGAUGAAUAAGCACCGGCUAACUCCGUGCCAGUAGCCGCGGUAAUACGGAGGGUGCAAGCGUUAUCCGGAUUCACUGGGUUUAAAGGGUGCGUAGGCGGGCAGGUAAGUCAGUGGUGAAAUCCUAGAGCUUAACUCUAGAACUGCCAUUGAUACUAUCUGUCUUGAAUAUUGUGGAGGUAAGCGGAAUAUGUCAUGUAGCGGUGAAAUGCUUAGAUAUGACAUAGAACACCUAUUGCGAAGGCAGCUUACUACGCAUAUAUUGACGCUGAGGCACGAAAGCGUGGGGAUCAAACAGGAUUAGAUACCCUGGUAGUCCACGCCCUAANNNAUGAUUACUCGACAUUUGUGAUACANNNNNNGUGUCU
rnacentral:rRNA from 1 species